GCCCUGGCAGAGAAGGUGAGUGGGCUCUGGCCUGCUCUGAAGGAACUGACACAACACUGCAACGUGGCCUGCAAAUCCGACAUCCAGGUGGGAGCCAAAAUGCUGGAAGCAGCUGUGUUUGGAGCUUACUUCAAUGUCAUGAUCAACCUCAAAGACAUAACGGAUGAGAAGUUCAAGCUUGUGAUGUCCCAGAAGGUCUCCGGGCUGCUGGAAGAGGCAAAGCAAGGGUCAGCACUCGUGCUGGCACUGCUGGAGAAGCGGGUGGCCUGAGGAGGGCUUGGGAGUGGUCUGGGAGGUCUACAGUGGCAAAUAAAGCUGGGAAACCAACUUGUCCCUGUGUUGCUCUUUUGCUAUCGGCCUCUGAAGAUCCCAGUGUCACAUUCCCUGCUGCCCUUUCCCUGGCCAAGGGGGAUUUUUGCUGUCUGGGUCUCGGACUCCAGACUUCCUUCCCCCCAUCACUGGGACAUUAGGAGAUGACUGGGCUGGCACUGCCUGGGAUCACAGGGAUCUUAACAAAGGGGGUGGCGGGGACCCAGUGGGACUGCCCGUGAGGGGUGCUUGUGCAUGGGUACUUCCUGAGCCUGCACACUCUUGUGUUUUAUGCCCAGAAACCCCACAAAGCACUCUCCUACCCUAUAUGUGGGGCAAGACUUGGCCUAGUCCCUUUCUGCAAAGUGUCUUUUUGGUGGUGUGUGACAAUUCCAGCCUGUUGCAUUGCCUGGAAAAGGAGCACUGCCAAGCACGCAGCACCAUCAGGGGUGUUAGCAGGGAGAUGGGGAUGGAAUGGAUUGGGAUGGGACGGAAUGGGGAGAACUCUAUUCCCUCCCCAUAGAUCCCCCCCUAAGAGGAAGAUCUGAAAAUUGGGGCAGCCAGCCCUGCCUCCUGUCCCUGCUGACGGGUGUGAUAGCACAUAUCACCUCCUCCACCUCACACCACAGCAGAAACCCUAAGCAGUGUCACAGGGAGUCACAAUCCCUACCCUGCUGUCCCACAGCACCAUCUGUGGGAGGGUCACCCCUGUCCCUGGACACUGUGCCUGUGCUGGGAGCACUGAGCCCGAGGUCAUGGUGGGGUCACCUGACUCACUCCAUCAGCUGACGUCGGGAGCUGUAAUCACCACCCUGCAUCAUCUGUUUUUAUUAUAUGUGGGACCGUUUUAUGUGUUUUAUUACAUGUGGGACCCUUGUGCUGGCUGGGAGUGGUGUGUUGACUUUCCUUACACAACCAAAUGAUGGCCAUGGCCGAGGUGGCGCUGGGUUCACUGCUUGGCAGUGUCACCUCUGCCCACCACACCCCUCCUCACCAGGGAGGGACGUGGUAUUUAACAGGUGCCUGACAGCCUGGUUAGAACCGUGCCAAGGACGGUGAUCGAGAGUGCUGCCAGCAUCGCCUCCUCUGGGAGCUUUUGGGCAGGUUUGCUCACAGACCACUGAGGAUGUGUGACCCCCACCAAGGCAUGCCACGACCACACCAUCCAGUUUGCCCUCCUGGUCCUCCAGGACAUCCUGGUCCUGGCACAGGUCCCUGCCCUGGUGGCCCUGCAGUCUGCCCCCCUCCACCUGGCCAUGGGCAUCCUCCCCAUGGGCACCCCCAUCCAGGACCACCUCACGGCCAUCAGAAGCACCAUAAGAAGCACCAUAAAGAGAAGCACUCCAAGCACCAUGGAGACAAGCACUCCAGUGGCUCAAGCAGCAGCUCCGACUCUGACUGAACAUCUGGCAUCUCCCACCUUCAGCAAAACACAAAGCCAAACACCUUGUGGGAACUCCCUGCAUGUAGCUCUACUCCCUUCCCCUUUCCCUUACAGCAGUGUUUUGCCUGCUCUGUGAUUUUCUUGUUUUUCCAUUGUAAAUGAUUUGUCCUGGAAUCUCUUAAGUCAUUGGACAGCAUCUCCAUUGUCUGUCUUUUGGAAGAGCCUGCUGAAAGUCAUCAUGUGCUUGUUUGCAAUCUGCUGGUGUCCGUGUG